rnacentral:miRNA from 1 species
UCUUAGCUCAUCUGAUGUGAAG